AUUGAACGCUGGCGGCAGGCCUAAUACAUGCAAGUCGAGCGGAACUGCGGACGGGUGAGUAAUGCCUAGGAAUCUGCACGGGAGUGGGGGAUCACGUAGGGAGACGGGAGAUAAUAACACAUACUAUCAGAGGAGCUUCGGUCGGAUUAGCUAGUUGGUGAGGUAAAGGCCUACCUAGGCGACGAUGUGGAACUGGUCUGAGAGGAUGAUCAGUCCCACUGGAACUGAGACACGGUCCAGACUCCUACGGGAGGCAGCAGUGGGGAAUAUUGGACAAUGGGCGAAAGCCUGACCCAGCCAUGCCGCGUGUGUGAAGAAGGUCUUCGGAUUGUAAAGCACUUUAGGUUGGGAAGCGUUACCAACAGAAAAAGCACCGGCUAACUACGUGCCAGCAGCCGCGGUAAUUC
rnacentral:rRNA from 1 species